UACGAAGGGUGCUAGCGUUGUUCGGAAUUACUGGGCGUAAAGCGCGCGUAGGCGGCUUUGUAAGUUAGAGGUGAAAGCCCGGAGCUCAACUCCGGGUCGGCCGUCGAGACUCCUCGGCUCGAGCUCACUAGAGGCAGAUGGAAUUCCGGGUGUAGCGGUGGAAUGCGUAGAUAUCAGGAGGAACACCGGUGGCGAAGGCGGGUCUCUGGGCAGUAACUGACGCUGAGGAGCGAAAGCGUGGGGAGCGAACAGG
rnacentral:rRNA from 1 species